AGGAGUAUUGUUUCUUUUGAAGGUUGCUCCCAAAUGGACAGGAAAAUAGCUGAUAGCUGAAUCCAACAUGCUCCAAGCAUGCUCCAGAAAUUGAGCCCAUUCCGUACCCUGGUGACCCUACAUCUGAUCUGGUACGACUAGCUUUCCCUUCAUUACAGCCUUGUACUGACCCAGGUGUGAUUCUCCUUGCGGUUUGGCGCGCUGUCUCGUAGCCAUGGCUUAGGCGGUGUCCGAGGACGGAUCCGAAUGUUCAGAGCCAGCGUCGCGAUAAAUGGUUGUUGUAAAGGGUUGAUUCGGAGCGAAGGCCGUUGUAGUUCGAGCCAGCAGCCUUGAAUUCGCUCCAAGUAAUCCUGACAACCGCAGAAACGCCAGAAAUGCGUCUCGCGGCAGCACGUCUGUGAAAGCUACUAGUCACUAUGGGCUUACUGACCUUUUCUAUCAAGACGAUUCAAAUAAGUGAAUAUGAUAUGGCUGUCUAUCCAUGAUGCUCAAGCGGAAGAGACAUAGAUGCAGGAUCUCUGGCCGUUGUGACGGCCAAGAAUUAAUGAUAUGCUGCCGUAGCCUUGCAUUAUGGGUUGAGUCUGCCAGAAGUCAUAGUAGCGACGUUGGAGGGUGAGGCCACGGGCCUAGCUGCGGGAGGACCCAGUAAAGCUCAUAUUCAUCACCAUUUGUAGUUCAAGUGCAAAUACAUCAUCAGCAGUCUCGAGGCCACAGAAGAAGCCCC
rnacentral:sRNA from 1 species